rnacentral:rRNA from 1 species
GCCUAACACAUGCAAGUCGAACGAGCGAGAGAGAGCUUGCUUUCUCGAGCGAGUGGCGAACGGGUGAGUAACGCGUGAGGAACCUGCCUCAAAGAGGGGGACAACAGUUGGAAACGGCUGCUAAUACCGCAUAAGCCCACAGCUCGGCAUCGAGCAGAGGGAAAAGGAGCAAUCCGCUUUGAGAUGGCCUCGCGUCCGAUUAGCUAGUUGGUGAGGUAACGGCCCACCAAGGCGACGAUCGGUAGCCGGACUGAGAGGUUGAACGGCCACAUUGGGACUGAGACACGGCCCAGACUCCUACGGGAGGCAGCAGUGGGGAAUAUUGCACAAUGGGGGAAACCCUGAUGCAGCGACGCCGCGUGGAGGAAGAAGGUCUUCGGAUUGUAAACUCCUGUUGUUGAGGAAGAUAAUGACGGUACUCAACAAGGAAGUGACGGCUAACUACGUGCCAGCAGCCGCGGUAAAACGUAGGUCACAAGCGUUGUCCGGAAUUACUGGGUGUAAAGGGAGCGCAGGCGGGAAGACAAGUUGGAAGUGAAAUCCAUGGGCUCAACCCAUGAACUGCUUUCAAAACUGUUUUUCUUGAGUAGUGCAGAGGUAGGCGGAAUUCCCGGUGUAGCGGUGGAAUGCGUAGAUAUCGGGAGGAACACCAGUGGCGAAGGCGGCCUACUGGGCACCAACUGACGCUGAGGCUCGAAAGUGUGGGUAGCAAACAGGAUUAGAUACCCUGGUAGUCCACACUGUAAACGAUGAUUACUAGGUGUUGGAGGAUUGACCCCUUCAGUGCCGCAGUUAACACAAUAAGUAAUCCACCUGGGGAGUACGACCGCAAGGUUGAAACUCAAAGGAAUUGACGGGGGCCCGCACAAGCAGUGGAGUAUGUGGUUUAAUUCGACGCAACGCGAAGAACCUUACCAAGUCUUGACAUCCUGCGACGCACAUAGAAAUAUGUGUUUCCUUCGGGACGCAGAGACAGGUGGUGCAUGGUUGUCGUCAGCUCGUGUCGUGAGAUGUUGGGUUAAGUCCCGCAACGAGCGCAACCCUUAUGGUCAGUUACUACGCAAGAGGACUCUGGCCAGACUGCCGUUGACAAAACGGAGGAAGGUGGGGAUGACGUCAAAUCAUCAUGCCCUUUAUGACUUGGGCUACACACGUACUACAAUGGCGUUAAACAAAGAGAAGCAAGACCGCGAGGUGGAGCAAAACUCAGAAACAACGUCCCAGUUCGGACUGCAGGCUGCAACUCGCCUGCACGAAGUCGGAAUUGCUAGUAAUCGCAGAUCAGCAUGCUGCGGUGAAUACGUUCCCGGGCCUUGUACACACCGCCCGUCACACCAUGAGAGCCGGGGGGACCCGAAGUCGGUAGUCUAAC